rnacentral:piRNA from 1 species
UGCAGGCCUGGAGGGAGACAUCAA